GAUGAAGAACGCAGCGAAAUGCGAUACUUGGUGUGAAUUGCAGAAUCCCGUGAACCAUCGAGUGUUUGAACGCAAGUUGCGCCCGAAGCCAUUAGGCCGAGGGCACGCCUGCCUGGGCGUCACACGUCGUUGCCCCCCCAUCUACUCCUUCGGGAUUGCGGGGGGCGGAUGAUGGCCUCCCGUGCGCCUCGUCGCGCGGUUGGCAUAAAUGCCAAGUCCUCGGCGACACACGCCACGACAAUCGGUGGUUGCGAAACCUCGGUUGCCCGUCGUGUGCGGUCGUCGCGCAUCGAGGGCUCGAAAAAAUUGCCGGGCUCCGGCUCGGCUUUCAACGCGACCCCAGGUCAGGCGGGGUUACCCGCUGAAUUUAAGCAUAUCAAUAAGCGGAGGA
rnacentral:misc_RNA from 1 species